ACAAUCUUCCAUAACCCAACAAUUUAUUUAAACUUACAUCACAAUGAGAAUUGAUUAAUAAAAUACAUCAGUUCACACCAGUCUGCAUUGCCGGAUUUUAAGGGUUAGCAUCUUUCUUCACUUUAUAUUAAAACUUUAUAGAGGUAAAAGCUCCCGCGCUGUACCCACAGCAGUUGAAAUCCAUUGUAACGUUAUGCAGGUUACAGAGGAGCUUUCAGAGCUAAUUACACUUCAGUUAACCUCACAUUUUUUGGCACAUCUGAAUGCUUUUUAUUUUCUUCUUAGCAUAAAAUAGUUCUGUAGCAAGUCAUAGAAUCAUUGACAUAAAGCAUCACUAUCCAAUGACAAGUGCUGCCGAAAAGCAUACAAAAAUUGCAUCAUUUGGUUACAAAAUAGGUAUUUCUUUAUCCCAACGCUUCGCAUCGAGAUGCUGUGAUAGAAAAGGGCUGGGAACAAGGCCAGCUGAGCUGCUGCUGGUCCCUCUGCUGCAAAGCAUUGGUUAAACGAAUCCCAGAGUGAUCAGCAACAAGGUAUUGAUGGCUGUUGCCUUGCCAGUCAAGGUCAUUCCUCUAAAGCACCCCCAGGCAGGUGUGAGGCCACAAGUACACCUUAACUUCUCUCUCAUAUGCGCUGCUGCUCAUGAAACAAAGCAAACAAAUGCGUGGUUAGUGUUCAAGAGGAGCAGCAUUUCUGCAGGCCUUGGCUGCAAGCUGUGGAGCAGACAGCAGCCUUGUAACCACUGCCCAACUGAAUGCUUCUGCACAGCAGAACAGCAGCAGCUCCUUCAGAAAUGAACGUGCAUUAUGUUAACGUUAAUGAAACACCCAUGGCAGUGGUGUGCAGGCACAUCUCUGUGCGGCCAGCUGCAGUUCUCUGCGUGAAGUUUUAUAUCUGCAGACUGUAGGUUUGGCUGAUUUCUGUUGUACACCAUGAAGCUGCUUUGGGAAUCUGACACAAUGCUCAAAAUAAAAAGGAGUCCAGGGUGUUUGCCAGCAGUUAGUUCUCCCAUGGCUCUUGAACCGUACUGUUUCAAUCAGACUUUGGCAUAUUAACUGAGCUGGAAUCUCUGUGGUGAUACCACCAAGUGUUCCCCAAAAGGGGAUUCUGGCUGCUAAAGUCACCUCUGACUUUACCUUCCUUAGAGAAAUUGAAGAAAGCACUGCAAUACUUUGUUAAGCCAGGGAAAGAAGGAAAUUACACUGCUAAUGGAACAGUUACAGAUAGAGAUGUUUGAAAUUGAUAGUAAGAGAAAAUUCAAGGUAUCUGUGAUACUCUUUGCAUGUACCUACUGACCCUGAAAGGCAGCCCUGCCAAAAACCCUCCAAAAAUCAAACUUCCUCCCCAAGAGUCGCUUUUUGUUCCACACUCACAGUGAGAAUUUAUCCCUGCAUUGACUUUGCUUCCUAUUCAGCAUUUGCUCUGAAUGCAGCUGAAGUUACUGGGAGCCCUUUGGGAGAAACAAGUGCAGGAUAUAUAAAAUAGUGCAGAUGGAAAAGCUUUGGCUGGAUUGGUCAGUCUGCACCAAAUGUGAGAAUGGAACGUGAUGUAGCUAUGAAUGUCUCCUGUCCCUAUGCAGAGAAGAGAGUGCUGCUAAGAUCAACAAAUGUUGGCUGAAUAACUUCACAAGGACAUAGUGCAACUUCUGCUCAUUCAAAAAGCUGUGGAAAGGCAGCCAGCUGCUUGGUAUCGGUGCUGAUGAACAGGCAGCUACAGACCAGCUUACAACCAUGUCUGAAGUGACAGUGAGAAUAAAAGCCAUUUUGCCUCAGUAAAUAGGUCCCAUUUUGAUAGCACUUCUGAGUCGAUUAAAGUGGCGAGAAGCUGGAGAAUGGCUUAUGAGCACUUUGAGCAGCCGCACUCCACGUGUCUCUCCAGUUCCUCUGUGAAGGUGGAGCCAUCCACGCACUGGAAGAAGUAUUUCCUCCUUUUGCUCCGCAGUGGGACGCAGCACUGCCCGCUGCUGCAGCUGCCAUGGCAUUCCAUGCGGGGCACUUUGGAGGCGGUGACGCACGUCGUGUAGCCCUGCUGCUUACGGACCACUUCUCGAAUGAUCUCCCCUUGGCAGAGGUUCUCUGGUAAGACAAUGGAGGUGUCAAGGAAGCCACGUGGUAACCAUUUUGCUAGAUAUUCCCCACACAUCAGCAGACAGCCCCGUGCAUGCAAUGAUACUCAGGGCAAGCAGAUGCCGUGAGCAGAACUGUAAUCUUUUACUGCUUUGUACCUGCCAUCAAAACACAGCUUGUGUUACACAAAUGUGCAAUAUCCGGCACAAGGCAGAGGCCACGCAGGCCUGAUGGCUUUGAUCAGCAGUUCUGGGAGUGCUUUAAUGAAUGCUGAGUGUUGAAUCCUGCAACGCUCCUGCAAAACACAGGUUAGUUUUACUGUGUCUGUUUCACAGGAUCAGAGGUCAGCCUGCUCUGUGUGACACCGGCCAUCUAGGGUACCUGAAAAUGCCUAUGCUGGUGUGCAGUCACUUUGUCACAGGCAGAUCCAUUUUAGUGAGACUGCAUAUGAUCUGUAUAAUUUGGAAAGUCUGUAGUUCACAGAAGAGGGACAACAAUAAUACAAAGCAACUCCUUCCUUCUGUACAGGAAGGAAUGAAGGCAGAAGGGAUGAAGUUAGAGCUCACAUAGUUGCCAGUGAGUGUUUUCAGCUCAGGGCAGAAGAGGCACAUCCCAGUGUGAGCUGUGGGAUGCCCCAGGAAACCUGCUCAGCUGCACCAGCAGGAGUGAGCUGGGAAUCUUCACUGCCACUUCAGACAGGACCUGCUGCCUUCUAGUCCCUCGUCUUGUUCUCUACGAAAGCCCUCGUGUAACACCUCCUUUCCCAGCACUGCUGACUGAUCACUGUUCAGGGAAAGCCUCACAGCAGCAUCCCCUUUAAACAUCCUUACAGAAUCUUGGAAGCAGCAAACCUUGAAGAUUCAGGAGACAGCGAAUAAAACCUUUCUACAGAUG